UACGUAGGGGGCUAGCGUUAUCCGGAAUUACUGGGCGUAAAGGGUGCGUAGGUGGUUUCUUAAGUCAGAGGUGAAAGGCUACGGCUCAACCGUAGUAAGCCUUUGAAACUGGGGAACUUGAGUGCAAGAGAGGAGAGUGGAAUUCCUAGUGUAGCGGUGAAAUGCGUAGAUAUUAGGAGGAACACCAGUUGCGAAGGCGGCUCUCUGGACUGUAACUAACACUGAGGCACGAAAGCGUGGGGAGCAAACAGG
rnacentral:rRNA from 1 species